UACCAAGGCGCUUGAGAGAACUCAGGAGAAGGAACUCGGCAAAUUGAUACCGUAACUUCGGGAGAAGGUAUGCCCCGGUAGCUUGUAGUCGUACAGACGAAGGGCGAUGGGGCCGCAGAGAAUCGGUGGCUGCGACUGUUUAAUAAAACACAGCACUCUGCAAACACGAAAGUGGACGUAUAGGGUGUGACGCCUGCCCGGUGCCGGAAGGUUAAUUGAUGGGGUGCAAGCUCUUGAUCGAAGCCCCGGUAAACGGCGGCCGUAACAAUAACGGUCCUAAGGUAGCGAAAUUCCUUGUCGGGUAAGUUCCGACCUGCACGAAUGGCGUAACGAUGGCCACACUGUCUCCUCCUGAGACUCAGCGAAGUUGAAAUGUUUGUGAAGAUGCAAUCUCCCCGCGGCUAGACGGAAAGACCCCAUGAACCUUUACUGUAGCUUUACAUUGGACUUUGACGGGACUUGUGUAGGAUAGGUGGGAGGCUUUGAAGCCGGGACGCUAGUUCCGGUGGAGCCAUCCUUGAAAUACCACCCUGGUGUCGUUGAGGUUCUAACCUUGAUCCGUGAAUCCGGAUCGGGGACCGUGUAUGGUGGGCAGUUUGACUGGGGCGGUCUCCUCCCAAAGAGUAACGGAGGAGUACGAAGGUCUUCUAGGUACGGUCGGACAUCGUACUGAUAGUGCAAUGGCAAAAGAAGGCUUGACUGCGAGACCCACAAGUCGAGCAGGUGCGAAAGCAGGUCAUAGUGAUCCGGUGGUUCUGUAUGGAAGGGCCAUCGCUCAACGGAUAAAAGGUACUCUGGGGAUAACAGGCUGAUUCCGCCCAAGAGUUCACAUCGACGGCGGAGUUUGGCACCUCGAUGUCGGCUCAUCACAUCCUGGGGCUGUAGCCGGUCCCAAGGGUAUGGCUGUUCGCCAUUUAAAGUGGUACGUGAGCUGGGUUUAAAACGUCGUGAGACAGUUUGGUCCCUAUCUGCCGUGGGCGUUGGAAGUUUGAGGGGACCUGCUCCUAGUACGAGAGGACCGGAGUGGACAGAUCUCUGGUGUACCGGUUGUCACGCCAGUGGCAUCGCCGGGUAGCUAAAUCUGGAAGAGAUAACCGCUGAAAGCAUCUAAGCGGGAAACUCGCCUCAAGAUGAGACUUCCCUGGGGAUUCGAUCCCCCUGAAGGGUCGUUCAAGACCAGGACGUUGAUAGGUCAGGUGUGGAAGC
rnacentral:rRNA from 1 species